GAUGAAGAACGUAGCGAAAUGCGAUAAGUAAUGUGAAUUGCAGAAUUCAGUGAAUCAUCGAAUCUUUGAACGCACAUUGCGCCCGCUGGUAUUCCGGCGGGCAUGCCUGUUCGAGCGUCAUUUCAACCCUCAAGCUCUCCGGAGUUUGGUGUUGGGGCGCCUGGGGCUUUUCGACCUCAGGGCCCUCAAGUCCAUCGGCGGGACCGCCAGGACACUGAGCGCAGUAGUAUUAUUUCGCUCGGUAGGAUCUUCCACGGCGGGUCGAUCUGGCCGCUAAACCCCCCAAUUCUCGCCAAAGGUUGACCUCGGAUCAGGUAGGAAUACCCGCUGAACUUAAGCAUAUCAAUAAGCGGAGGA
rnacentral:misc_RNA from 1 species